CACGAAUGGCGUAAUGAUGGCCAGGCUGUCUCCACCCGAGACUCAGUGAAAUUGAACUCGCUGUGAAGAUGCAGUGUACCCGCGGCAAGACGGAAAGACCCCGUGAACCUUUACUAUAGCUUGACACUGAACAUUGAGCCUUGAUGUGUAGGAUAGGUGGGAGGCUUUGAAGCGUGGACGCCAGUCUGCGUGGAGCCGACCUUGAAAUACCACCCUUUAAUGUUUGAUGUUCUAACGUGGAUCCGUAAUCCGGGUUGCGGACAGUGUCUGGUGGGUAGUUUGACUGGGGCGGUCUCCUCCUAAAGAGUAACGGAGGAGCACGAAGGUUGGCUAAUCCUGGUCGGACAUCAGGAGGUUAGUGCAAUGGCAUAAGCCAGCUUGACUGCGAGCGUGACGGCGCGAGCAGGUGCGAAAGCAGGUCAUAGUGAUCCGGUGGUUCUGAAUGGAAGGGCCAUCGCUCAACGGAUAAAAGGUACUCCGGGGAUAACAGGCUGAUACCGCCCAAGAGUUCAUAUCGACGGCGGUGUUUGGCACCUCGAUGUCGGCUCAUCACAUCCUGGGGCUGAAGUAGGUCCCAAGGGUAUGGCUGUUCGCCAUUUAAAGUGGUACGCGAGCUGGGUUUAGAACGUCGUGAGACAGUUCGGUCCCUAUCUGCCGUGGGCGCUGGAGAACUGAGGGGGGCUGCUCCUAGUACGAGAGGACCGGAGUGGACGCAUCACUGGUGUUCGGGUUGUCAUGCCAAUGGCACUGCCCGGUAGCUAAAUGCGGAAGAGAUAAGUGCUGAAAGCAUCUAAGCACGAAACUUGCCCCGA
rnacentral:rRNA from 2 species